CACACACACACACACACACACACACACACACACACCCUUAUCUGUAGCCCUCUGAGCCUAGAACCUGGCAUACACACACCAAGUAUGCAAACAGACAAUACACAGAACCCCCCCUAUGGAAACACAAAGUGUCCACACAACACAAACUGCCCUGCCCCUCCCUCUGCCAGCCCACACACUGCUCUGCUCACACAGAGCACUCCUGAAAGACCAGGAUGGCACCCUGCCAUGCCAACAGCAUGACCUGAAUCUACAACAGAGAUGGCACAUUGUGGAGACACAUGGCAACAGUCCAUCAUUUAGUAUUGUUGUUGUAUUUCAUUUCAUUGCUUACUCAGGUCUGAGUCUGGCAUUGCUGCCAUUGUUGCUGUAGGUGGUUGCUAACUGGUCUAUUGUUGUUGUAGGUGGUUGCUAACUGGUCCAUUGUUGCUGUAGGUGGUUGCUAACUGGUCCAUUGUUGCUGUAGGCGGUUGCUAACUGGUCUAUUGUUGUUGUAGGUGGUUGCUAACUGGUCCAUUGUUGCUGUAGGUGGUUGCUAACUGGUCCAUUGUUGCUGUAGGUGGUUGCUAACUGGUCUAUUGUUGUUGUAGGUGGUUGCUAACUGGUCCAUUGUUGCUGUAGGUGGUUGCUAACUGGUCCAUUGUUGUUGUAGGUGGUUGCUAACUGGUCCAUUGUUGCUGUAGGUGGUUGCUAACUGGUCCAUUGUUGCUGUAGGUGGUUGCUAACUGGUCCAUUGACUCUGAUAUGUGAUUGCCCGUGACAUGGGGCGAGGUCAGCACAUGGGUAGGUGGACAUUCACAGAGUUAAACUAGAUAGCAAAGCAGUGCAGAACUAAAUUUAAAGACCAAUACGAG
ensembl:lncRNA